ACGGGUGAGGAAUACAUCGGAAUCUACUUUUUCGUGGGGGAUAACGUAGGGAAACUUACGCUAAUACCGCAUACGACCUACGGGUGAAAGCAGGGGAUCUUCGGGCCUUGCGCGAUUGAAUGAGCCGAUGUCGGAUUAGCUAGUUGGCGGGGUAAAGGCCCACCAAGGCGACGAUCCGUAGCUGGUCUGAAAGGAUGAUCAGCCACACUGGAACUGAGACACGGUCCAGACUCCUACGGGAGGCAGCAGUGGGGAAUAUUGGACAAUGGGCGCAAGCCUGAUCCAGCCAUACCGCGUGGGUGAAGAAGGCCUUCGGGUUGUAAAGCCCUUUUGUUGGGAAAGAAAUCCAGCCGGCUAAUACCUGGUUGGGAUGACGGUACCCAAAGAAUAAGCACCGGCUAACUUCGUGCCAGCAGCCGCGGUAAUACGAAGGGUGCAAGCGUUACUCGGAAUUACUGGGCGUAAAGCGUGCGUAGGUGGUUGUUUAAGUCUGUUGUGAAAGCCCUGGGCUCAACCUGGGAACUGCAGUGGAAACUGGACAACUAGAGUGUGGUAGAGGGUAGCGGAAUUCCCGGUGU
rnacentral:rRNA from 1 species